UAAAGUAGGUGCGCGCGUCGGGAGGGCGCUAUGUUUCGAGAAACGGAGGCUAAAGUGAGCUUAACUGGAUCAGGGCGUUUUCUAUUGCAAACCUCUGUCCGAGCGAGGGCUGGACGGGGAAAGGAGGGGCGCGCUCUGCCGACCUCGGUGGCUGCCGCGUCCACAACGACUAUUCACCUUGGGGCCCUCCGACUCAAUUCGUGGUACCGACUUCCUCAACAUUCCUCCUUAAUGUGGUGUACCCUACUACUCUACCUACCACGUGACGAACUCCACGAACAACUAGUAGUGUUGUUACCGCUGGUAAGUGUUUUACCUACCUUUGGUGUACACAUAACACGUCGGUAUUCCUUACACUUCCUCUUCACGUUGUUCUUAUAGUGUUUCCUGUUGUAAAACCCUUCCGAAUCUUGAAAGCUGUCCAUGAUACUUCAGUAAUGGUUCUAUGAAAGGGUUUCACCAAAACCCACCCUAACCCACUUAGUAUUCGAUAGUUACCUAUCACUACUACAGACCUAGUUUAUACACCUCCGAUUAUUCUUUCUCUUUCCUAAUCGAAGGAUGUUCUGGUUUCAUCACUUCGUAACCCUCAGGUAUAGAUAGUAUAUAAGUUUUCUAGUACGGUUACCACUUCCACGCUACUGACCACGACUCUGAUGACGUCUAGGUCUUCGUCUUGGUUAUCUUUAGAGAGGUCUUCACCGUGGUUUCUCCGUUGCUUGUCCACUCAGGUAAUACACGUACUAACCUCUUUACUCCCGAUGAAAGUUCCUACGAAACUUCUGUUGACUAGGUGAAGGUGACGGUUUUCGAUGGUGAGGACGACGUUAAGAACGACGUGAAAUCAACUAUGGUCUGAACCGUCUCGGUCUGUACAACGCUAGUAUACCCUUCGACUAAGAAUUACUCGCAAACAAACUUCGAGAUUACCUCAACGGGUACCUUUACUCCUUCCGGACCGACAAUCACAACGGAAUUUAAAUAAGUUUACAACGAAAAAUCGAACAGAACAAAUUGAUGAACUUGGAUAAACUUGAUCACGCCACUACAAUUUAAAUCUUGAUACACAACAACAACAACUCUUAAACCUUUGAUGUAUAGGCUUGAUGCACAACAACAUACACGAGACCAAUUUUUAAACGUGAGACAAGCGUAUUAAUAACAACAACAACAAUCUUUAAAUAG
rnacentral:rRNA from 1 species